CCAUUCCUGGAUCCGUGAUAGUGAAACAUCAUUCGUAGCAUAUCUGCAUCCAGUUACAGAACACCUGCGGAGUUGAUUGGAAUAAAUAAAAUUGUCUCCCAAAUGAUUCCGAUGCCAAUCACCAUAGCGAUUGCUUCCAAUUUUGGUUGUGAAUUGCUCAUGAAACGAUCCUUUCAGGGAGAUGCUCCAUGAGUACGAGAGGCGAUUGGUUUCGGAUUUGGCCAACCCUCUUUCGGAAUAGUGCAUCUGUUGCUGUGCUUCAUGGCGCAAGGGACGACCUCCCCGAAUGUGGAAUGGUCGAUCAUGAGAAUAUAAGCGUUUAGCCUACCCCCGACUAAAGGAGCAGAUUGUUGAUAUCAACGGAACGACUUAAUCAAUUCAACGCAAGAAUUAAGGAAUUCAAACGGACUCUACUAGAAACAGAGGAGCUUAAUGUGUCCAUCCUGCAGGUUCUACACUCUCAGAGACAGACCCUUCUUCAUGCCCAGAACACGGUGCGCAAAUCUCAUCAUGCCCUCUAAAAUCUGCUUAUGUUCAACGUUGAAUGUCCUGUGUAGUUGUGGUGAACAGUGGCUGUGACCUUGUGUGUUAGACCUGGUAGCAAAAUCACCGAAAGAAUGACCAGGCACGAUUCACCUUAUUCAAUUAUGCGCAUAGAAUUUGCAGAUGAUAUGUACAAAAUAGAUUCAGGAAUGAAUUAACAUGGAUGUGUGCGCUGGUCAUACAAUUGCACUGCGUGGAUGACAACAUUGAAAAAGGUCGGCUGAACCUGAAUUCAAUGACUCGACUUGUGUCACGAAAUAAAUGGAUAAUCUGAUUCGCACCAAAUUACUAAGAUUAAUCUUCUUUGAAAGGAGAGUUGGCAUGAUAGAAGUCUUUGACCAUGACUUGUGAAACUCUUGUAAAUAAAUACUGUAUGAGCUUUAUCUUGUUGCUGGAGUUUGAAGUGUUCGGACUCCAGGCAGGAUAUAGUAGCACUACCAGUGAGAUUUUGCAGUGUCGUCACCAUGGCUGAACAGACGUCGGUAGUAUCUUGGUUCGGGACCUGGGUUGAGCACACGAGUAUGCCCUCGAUUAUCAUUCCAACGCAUGAUUCCUGCCAGACACCAAGCCAGUGGCUGGAUUCCAAUGGGUUGUAGAUUGACAAGCAAUUGAAGUUGCCGGAUCUGGGUUCGGUCUGCAAAAAUUGUCGAAGACAUAUUAUGGGGAAUGCAACUCUCAAGGAAGAAUUUGCACCAUCGAGGCACAGAGAUGGCUUGAUCUUACGAUCCGGUUAACAAGAUUUAUCAAUUGGUUCAACACAAUCUACUAAGAGAUCUGACAUUCAUGAGCCCGCGAAUUAUUUGAGAUAAAGUAAUUGCAGCGAUUUGAAGGCAACAACUCACGUAGAUCUUCACCAUGGGUUGCAGAAUUCAUGUGUAUCAUUUAUUUUUUUAUAUUUUUAUUUGUUUGUUUUUGGUUCAAAAAUUUAGCAACAAUUUUUUUGUGUUAUUAUAAGA